AUUGAACGCUGGCGGAAUGCUUUACACAUGCAAGUCGAACGGCAGCACGGACUUCGGUCUGGUGGCGAGUGGCGAACGGGUGAGUAAUACAUCGGAACGUGCCCAGUCGUGGGGGAUAACGUAGCGAAAGCUACGCUAAUACCGCAUACGAUCUAAGGAUGAAAGCGGGGGAUCGCAAGACCUCGCGCGAUUGGAGCGGCCGAUGGCAGAUUAGGUAGCUGGUAGGGUAAUGGCCUACCAAGGCGAUGAUGGGUAGCUGGUCUGAGAGGACGAUCAGCCACACUGGAACUGAAACACGGUCCAGACUCCUACGGGAGGCAGCAGUGGGGAAUCUUGCGCAAUGGACGAAAGUCUGACGCAGCGACGCCGCGUGGGUGAAGAAGGCCUUCGGGUUGUAAAGCCCUGUCGAUAGAGAAAAAGUCUUUACACAAUAAUAAGGUGUAGAGGUGAUGGUACCUAUAGAGGAAGCACCGGCUAACUCCGUGCCAGCCGCCGCGGUAA
rnacentral:rRNA from 1 species